GUGUGCCUACGGGGGGCAGCAGUGGGGGAUAUUGCACAAUGGGGGAAACCCUGAUGCAGCGACGCCGCGUGUAGGAAGACGGUCCUCUGGAUUGUAAACUACUGUCCCCAGGGACGAAGAUGACGGUACCUGGGGAGGAAGCUCCGGCUAACUACGUGCCAGCAGCCGCGGUAAUACGGAGGAUGCGAGCGUUAUCCGGAUUUAUUGGGUUUAAAGGGUGCGCAGGCGGAUUUUUAAGUCAGCGGUCAAAUCGUGGGGCUCAACCCCAUCCCGCCGUUUAAA
rnacentral:rRNA from 1 species